rnacentral:rRNA from 1 species
AUUGAACGCUGGCGGCAGGCCUAACACAUGCAAGUCGAGCGGCAGCGGGAAAGUAGCUUGCUACUUUUGCCGGCGAGCGGCGGACGGGUGAGUAAUGCCUGGGAAAUUGCCCAGUCGAGGGGGAUAACAGUUGGAAACGACUGCUAAUACCGCAUACGCCCUACGGGGGGAAAGCAGGGGACCUCCGGGCCUUGCGCGAUUGGAUAUGCCCAGGUGGGAUUAGCUAGUUGGUGAGGUAAUGGCUCACCAAGGCGACGAUCCCUAGCUGGUCUGAGAGGAUGAUCAGCCACACUGGAACUGAGACACGGUCCAGACUCCUACGGGAGGCAGCAGUGGGGAAUAUUGCACAAUGGGGGAAACCCUGAUGCAGCCAUGCCGCGUGUGUGAAGAAGGCCUUCGGGUUGUAAAGCACUUUCAGCGAGGAGGAAAGGUCAGUAGCUAAUACCUGCUGGCUGUGACGUUACUCGCAGAAGAAGCACCGGCUAACUCCGUGCCAGCCGCCGCGGUAAAAC